rnacentral:rRNA from 1 species
UACGGAGGGUGCAAGCGUUAUCCGGAUUCACUGGGUUUAAAGGGUGUGUAGGCGGACUUUUAAGUCCGUGGUGAAAUCUCCGGGCUCAACCCGGAAACUGCCAUGGAUACUAUUUGUCUUGAAUGUUGUUGAGGUGGGCGGAACGGGUCAUGUAGCGGUGAAAUGCAUAGAUAUGACCCGGAACACCGAUUGCGAAGGCAGCCCACUAAGCAAUGAUUGACGCUGAGGCACGAAAGCGUGGGGAUCAAACAGG